AUACCUUUCUCGGCCUUUUGGCUAAGAUCAAGUGUAGUAUCUGUUCUUAUCAGUUUAAUAUCUGAUACGUGAGCCAUUGGCUCACAUGAUAUUAAAUUAAUAUUUUUAUGGGGAGUGUCCACAGCAGUAGCUUGCUACUGGGACUCUUAGACGUCGCCCUUGUGUUGCACUACAGCUCGGGCCUGGCGCACCCGCC